UACGGAGGGUGCAAGCGUUAUCCGGAUUCACUGGGCGUAAAGGGCGCGUAGGCGGCUCAUGAAGGCUGUGGUGAAAGUCCGGGGCUCAACCUCGGAUCGGCCGUGGCGACUCGUGGGCUGGAGCACUGUAGAGGCGGGUGGAAUUCCGGGUGUAGCGGUGGAAUGCGUAGAGAUCCGGAAGAACACCAGUGGCGAAGGCGGCUCACUGGCCCGGUACUGGCGCUGAGGUGCGAAAGCGUGGGGAGCAAACAGG
rnacentral:rRNA from 1 species